AUGGAGGCAUCAGCAGAGCAGCCAAGCCCGCAUCACCUGCAGCCCGGGGAGCACUGUAUCCGUGAUGAUGACUUCGUGAUGCUGAAGCGGUAAGAUGUGUUCAAAGCAGUGCAAGUCCAACGGAGAAAGAAAGUAACUUUCGAUAAACAGUGGUUCUACCUGGAUAAUGCCAUUGGUCAUAGUUAUGGGUCAACAUUUGAAGUGUGUAAUGGAGGAUGCCUUCAGCUCAAGAAGAAGAAGGAAGAGCCUACUUCAGAGACUAAAGAAGCGGGCAUUGAUAAUCGAAAUAUAGUUGAUGAUGGAAAGUCCCAGAAACAUACACAAGAUGAUAUAAAGGCUCUGAAAGACAAGGGCAUUAAAGGAGAGGAAAUAGUUCAGCAGCUAAUUGAAAAUAGCACAACAUUCAGCAACAAGACAGAAUUUGCCCAAGAUAAAUAUAUUAAAAAGAAGAAGAAAAAAUAUGAAGCCAUCGUUACUAUUUUGAAGACAUCUACCUGUAUUUUUUCAAUUAUGUAUUAUUCAAGAGAACCUGGAAAAAUUAACCACAAGAGAUAUGAUACACUAGCCCAGAUGCUGAAAUUGGGAAAUAUCCGUGCUGGCAAUAAAAUGAUUGUCAUGGAAACGUGUUCGGGCAUGGUUCUGGGUGUCAUGAUGGAGCAAAUGGGAGGUUUUGGCUCCAUGUUUUGGCUGUAUCCUGGAGAUGGACCUGUUUGUGCAGAAACAGCUUGUUUUGAGUUUCCCAAAACUUCCUACUUUUAA